rfam:Eutrema salsugineum unplaced genomic scaffold scaffold_5, whole genome shotgun sequence.
ACCAAGGUUUUUUUCAAAAUCAUAAAAAAUAAACAAAAACUAUGAAU